GUAAGGAAUAUUGGGCAAUGGACGCAAGUCUGACCCAGCCAUGCCGCGUGAAGGAUGACGGCCCUAUGGGUUGUAAACUUCUUUUGUACGGGAAUAAACCUUCGGUCGUGACCGGAGCUGAAUGUACCGUAAGAAUAAGGAUCGGCUAACUCCGUGCCAGCAGCCGCGGUAAUACGGAGGAUCCAAGCGUUAUCCGGAUUCAUUGGGUUUAAAGGGUGCGUAGGCGGAUUUGUAAGUCAGUGGUGAAAUCCUGCAGCUUAACUGUAGAACUGCCAUUGAUACUGCAAGUCUUGAGUACAUUUGAUGUGGGCGGAAUGUGUCAUGUAGCGGUGAAAUGCUUAGAUAUGACACAGAACACCGAUUGCGAAGGCAGCUCACAAAACUGUAACUGACGCUGAGGCACGACAGCGUGGGGAUCAAACAGGAUUAGAAACCCGGGUAGUCC
rnacentral:rRNA from 1 species